rnacentral:rRNA from 1 species
AACGGUGUGCGCUUGGUGUGAGGGGAUUCGACCCCCCUUGUGCCGGAGCUAACGCGUUAAGCGCACCGCCUGGGAAGUACGGUCGCAAGACUAAAACUCAAAGAAAUUGACGGGGACCCGCACAAGCGGUGGAGUAUGUGGCUUAAUUCGAUGCAACGCGAAGAACCUUACCAAGGCUUGACAUGCAUCUCUAAGCGCGUGAAAGCGCGUGACCCUUCGGGGGAUUUGCACAGGUGCUGCAUGGCCGUCGUCAGCUCGUGUCGUGAGAUGUUGGGUUAAGUCCCGUAACGAGCGCAACCCUUGUCCUUACUUGCCAGCGGGUAAUGCCGGGAACUUUAAGGAGACUGCCGGUGACAAACCGGAGGAAGGUGGGGACGACGUCAAGUCAUCAUGGCCCUUACGAGUAGGGCUACACACGUGCUACAAUGGCCGGUACAGAGGGCCGCAAAGCCGCGAGGUGGAGCAAAUCUCAGAAAACCGGUCGUAGUCCGGAUCGCAGUCUGCAACUCGACUGCGUGAAGUCGGAAUCGCUAGUAAUCGCGAAUCAGAAUGUCGCGGUGAAUACGUUCCCGGGCCUUGUACACACCGCCCGUCACACCAUGGGAGUGGGUUGCACCAGAAGUAGCUAGUCUAACCGCAAGGGGGACGGUUACCACGGUGUGAUUCAUGACUGGGGUGAAGUCGUAACAAGGUACCCGUA